GAAGAAUAUUGCACAAUGGAGGAAACUCUGAUGCAGCAACGCCGCGUGAAGGAUGAAGGUUUUCGGAUUGUAAACUUCUUUUGUCGGGGACGAAAAAAAUGACGGUACCUGACGAAUAAGCCACGGCUAACUACGUGCCAGCAGCCGCGGUAAUACGUAGGUGGCAAGCGUUAUCCGGAUUUACUGGGUGUAAAGGGCGAGUAGGCGGGAUCAUAAGUCAGAUGUGAAAUCUGGGGGCUCAACCCCCAAACUGCAUUUGAAACUAUGAUUCUUGAGUGAUGGAGAGGCAGGCGGAAUUCCCGGUGUAGCGGUGGAAUGCGUAGAGAUCGGGAGGAACACCAGUGGCGAAGGCGGCCUGCUGGACAUUAACUGACGCUGAGGAGCGAAAGCGUGGGGAGCAAACA
rnacentral:rRNA from 1 species